rnacentral:lncRNA from 1 species
CCUUUCUCCUGGAAGGUCGGGGCCACACCGUUUCCAAGAGCGCGCGCUCAUUCGGGGACCGGCGGCUCGAGGUCAGAGCGUGCUGUGGGCUGUUCCAGAUUCACGAGGCUUUCUGGGGAGAAAGACACGAAUUCAGGGAAACGGAGACGCAGCUACAAUCUGGCACAAAUCUACGGAAUGUUGGGACUCUGGUGGAAUGACCGGGGACCCGGCCAGUGCUCCGCUGGGACUUCUUGGAGCCAGAGGCAGAAGGUUACAAAUAUAUUGAAAGGAAAAGUCAGAUACUCUACGUAAGGCAAUGAACAGACUUUAAACCACCAAUGGUAGCCAGUAGCUAUUACCUCAGAGAUUCAAAAGCUUGUGCAGGAGCAGCCCUGAUAUAGAUGAUACCCAGAUGAAUAUAUAGAACAUUUUCAGAAUCUCAAAAAUCUUGCUGUGCCUUCUCCCACUGCAUAGUCCCAGGCCAAAGCAUCAGCAGAGUGGCAGGAAGAAAAAGCUGGAGCCUUAAAGGAAUCUAACCUUGAAAGAGUUUAUUCCCAAUGGAACAUUCUACUCAGCUUCCUGCAAGAUUCUACCUUCACCUGAGGUGACCUAGGCUCCUAUUUUCUCUGUUCGGAGAACUCACUGCAAAGACAUUCAUGUGGCACCAGACCUACUUUCUCUUCAGAAAAGUCACCUACACAAGCCUCCUUUCGUGGAUAGCUUUCCGGACCGGUUACAACAAGAUCCUUUCUCUGAGGAGUGGGUUAGAGCAGCCAAGGAGGCGGACAUCUUAUAGUUCAUGGAGCUAGGAAGAUGCUUCUCAGUGCACCUUUGAGAUCCACUAAGUCAUAGGUCACUCUGGCCUCCUUGCUUCUGGCUACCACCCUCUGACUGGACGGUAUCACCCCCUUACUUUCCUUGUUUUCACCAUAUAAUCUUUGGAUGCCUUUCUUCAAUCAGAGUCCUCUUUGUCACUAUCCCAUAGGACCAUAUUUUACCCCCACCACUUACCUUUUCCCUUCUAUACCAAGAGCACACUCAGAUACAGGACACUAUCCCCAAUCCAAACCCCACUUUGUCUUUGGGCCACACCUCAUCCCCCGACCCCACCACAUCUCCAGAUGCCUCUCUUUCUCAGGAUCUCACAAUUUCCCUAAGGGGACAUGCCCCAUGGAUUCCAGUGUUUCACUUCACUGUCUCCCUAGUUUUCCAAGGUUCCAAGUGAUGGCUUCAAAAAAGUUUCAGCGAUGUGAAGACCUGGACAGUGGCCUCCUGAAUGACUGCGGGAGUAUCCCCAUAACACAGCCAUGGGUCCAUCAGGCUGUCCGUGACCCUGCCCUACUCUCUCCCUCUGGGGGCGUGUUUCCUCAGGUUAGCCAGAAAGUCCUCCUGCAUCCCCUGCUCCCUGAAAAAUUUCUCUCAAAGAAAUGUUUCCAUAAAAUCAGAG